rnacentral:rRNA from 1 species
GACGAACGCUGGCGGCGUGCCUAAUACAUGCAAGUAGAACGCUGAAGAGAGGAGCUUGCUCUUCUUGGAUGAGUUGCGAACGGGUGAGUAACGCGUAGGUAACCUGCCUUGUAGCGGGGGAUAACUAUUGGAAACGAUAGCUAAUACCGCAUAACAAUGGAUGACCCAUGUCAUUUAUUUGAAAGGGGCAAAUGCUCCACUACAAGAUGGACCUGCGUUGUAUUAGCUAGUGGGUGAGGUAACGGCUCACCUAGGCGACGAUACAUAGCCGACCUGAGAGGGUGAUCCGCCACACUGGGACUGAGACACGGCCCAGACUCCUACGGGAGGCAGCAGUAGGGAAUCUUCGGCAAUGGGGGCAACCCUGACCGAGCAACGCCGCGUGAGUGAAGAAGGUUUUCGGAUCGUAAAGCUCUGUUGUAAGUCAAGAACGAGUGUGAGAGUGGAAAGUUCACACUGUGACGGUAGCUUACCAGAAAGGGACGGCUAACUACGUG